AGUCCUGUAGCUCAGUGGUUGAGCACUUGCCUCGAAAGCGAGAGGACCUGAGUUUGAUUCCUAGCAGGACGA